rnacentral:misc_RNA from 1 species
AAAUGCGAUAAGUAAUGUGAAUUGCAGAAUUCAGUGAAUCAUCGAAUCUUUGAACGCACAUUGCGCCCGCCAGUAUUCUGGCGGGCAUGCCUGUCCGAGCGUCAUUUCAACCAUCAAGCCCCCGGGCUUGUGUUGGGGACCUGCGGCUGCCCGCAGGCCCUGAAAACCAGUGGCGGGCUCGCUGUCACACCGAGCGUAGUAGCAAUCACCUCGCUCAGGGCGUGCUGCGGGUUCCGGCCGUUAAACAGCCUUACAAAACCCAAGGUUGACCUCGGAUCGGGUAGGAAGACCCGCUGAACUUAAGC